AUCUACCCUAAGGCUCAUGAGAACCCUAGGACUUUCUCUUGCAUCUCUAGUCCAAUCUUCUUGGAGUCUUCUAUCCAAUACCCUUGGAGGUAGGAUUUCAUCAGUGGGUGUGUCUGUAGUGGUCAUAUAUAACUUAAGGCAUGUAAGGUUGGAGAGUUGCCUGAACAUAGAAAACAUAGUCAUUACAUCAUCAUCAUCGUGCAGUAUGCAUGCCCUGUACUAGACAUAAUCACCAACAAAUGAUAUAGGUAAUAGAAAAUAUAUAUCUUUGACCAUUUGGUAGACUAAUCUUGUUUCCAAUAGCUUGUUUCAGGCAUCAAGUGACAUUUUGUUGUCAAGUUGAACAAUAUUUGGUGAAUCGCUUACAAACGAUGAACCAUGUUUAGUUGUUGUGAUGGGGUCAUUGUAAUACGCAAUCGUAUUGACUGAUGAUGAAGUCAUGGUUUAGGGUUUAGGGUAGUAGUAACGUUUUUGAUUGAGAUGAUGGAUCAGAUUGUCUCAGUGCAAACUAUAUUUAUAAUUCUUAAUGGCUUGUCACAUACACUUAAAAAAGAACAGUCAAGAUCUCACCGACAAAAUUAAUGGCCUAGAUAUCACCUAUUGGAGCAAUGCACAUUGAAAAACCAAGACCCCUUGACAAAAUCAAUGACCUAUAUAUCACCAAUUGGAGCAACGCACGUUGAGCGACCAAGAUCCCAUCGAAUGAAUUGAGUUAUGUUAGAUUUUUUUCUAUAAAUUCAAUGCAUGUAUUGUCAUCAUAUACACUAACUUAGACUCACUUUCUAUAAUUCUUAUAUAUCCCUUUUUAAUUGAAUGUGGAGAAGUAUGUAAUACAUUCUUCUUCUUUGGAAACAACACCUUCAUAGAUGUGGAGAAGUAUGUAAUACAUUCUGUUUAAUUGAAUGUUAAUUAUGUUUUAUGAUUUACAAAUAUUGAUGUUGUUAUUAUUUUGAUUUCUAUAGGGAACAAACGAUGUAAUCCAAUCAAAUGCUCAAGCUAUGCGUUCUCUAGAUCCCAUAAUUAAAUCUUUAUUGGUUCAAGCUGGAUUUUCAUAUGUUGCAAAGCCCAAACAAAUUAAAAUCGAUGACACUUUAGUGACUGCUUUGGUUGAAAGGUGGAGACUUGAAUCACACUUUUCAUCUUCAUGUUGGUGAAUGCACAAUCACCUUGGAAGAUGUUGAUCUUCAACUAGGUUUAUGCGUUGAUGGAUAACUAGUUAUUAUACCAAAAAAUUAUAAUUGGGAACAAAUGUGCACAAAAUAUAUAGAUGUUGUUCCCCCAAAGAAUGCACUAGUGGGAUCAACACUUAAACUAAAAUGGUUAAAAGAAAACAUGUUGACUCUCGUAGCAAAACUUGCACCAUAACAAUUAGUAGCUCAUUGUAGAGCAAACAUUUUAGGGUUGAUUUGUGGGGUGUUGAUGCCAGACAAGUCAAGAAACAAAGUUCACAUCAUGUAUCUACCUUUGUUAGCUAAUCUUGAUCGAGAUGACCGGUACAAUUGGGGUUCGACGUGUUUAGCACAUUUGUAUAGAGAAAUAUGUAGAGCAAUUUAUCCCACAUCCAAAAAUAUGGGAGGAUAUAUAGUGUUGUUGCAGUCUUGGGCACGGUAUCGCAUGUCAUUCACUCAACCAAGGGUCAAGAACCAAACGUCAUAUCCACUUGCAACAAGAUGGAGUGGCAGAGGGCUACGAUUUUCUAGAAUCUCACACAGUAAUGUUACAGGCUAUAGGUCAAGAUUCGACAACAUGCAUAAUGAGGAGGUUAACCAUUUAAUUUUUGUUUUAUUUAUUCAAACGUCAAUUACAUUGUUUUUAACAUUACUAACGCAAGUUAUUUUUUCAAUUCCAUUGGAUGCCUUAUAAAAGGUAUCAGUCA